GACGAACGCUGGCGGCGUGCUUAACACAUGCAAGUCGAACGGAAAGGCCCUGCUUUUGUGGGGUGCUCGAGUGGCGAACGGGUGAGUAACACGUGAGUAACCUGCCCUUGACUUUGGGAUAACUUCAGGAAACUGGGGCUAAUACCGGAUAGGAGCUCCUGCUGCAUGGUGGGGGUUGAAAAGUUCGGCGGGUGGGGAUGGACUCGCGGCUUAUCAGCUUGUUGGUGGGGUAGUGGCUUACCAAGGCUUUGACGGGUAGCCGGCCUGAGAGGGUGACCGGCCACAUUGGGACUGAGAUACGGCCCAGACUCCUACGGGAGGCAGCAGUGGGGAAUAUUGCACAAUGGGCGGAAGCCUGAUGCAGCAACGCCGCGUGCGGGAUGACGGCCUUCGGGUUGUAAACCGCUUUCGCCUGUGACGAAGCGUGAGUGACGGUAAUGGGUAAAGAAGCACCGGCUAACUACGUG
rnacentral:rRNA from 1 species